rnacentral:lncRNA from 1 species
GGAACUGUUCCGGUCGUGGGGCGCGCGGGCGGCGGCGGCGGCUGCAGUGCCCACGGGGCGGGGCCGGCGGAGGGAGAGGUGGGGGGGCGCCCUGUGGCCCCGCCCUGGCCUCCGCGCGCCCCGCCCGCAGCCCAGGACACCCCGGGCGCGGGGCCCCGCGCAGGGGAGUGGACAAGCGGGGGAGACCUGGUUACUCAGAGCGGGGGUGACCCCCUCCCCAUUCGGGAAGUGAGGGCCCCCUACCCGCCCCUAACGACCCCAGGCGGCCCCGAAGGGAGCAAGUGAUCCCCUCCCUGUUCAGAAGGGUACAGAACAUCUCAGAAGCGGGGAAAAUCCCUGAGUCAGAUUCCUGCAUUCCACCCUGCACACCCUACCCCCAUACCGGCGAGCUCCAACCCAGCGCGCUCUCCUCACCCUUGCAAGAGUCAGGGCCCCUCCUCCCCGGGCAUCCGGUCACCUUAGGGCCACCUACCUGGCUCAGACAGACACAGCGCAGCUGGAGGCUUGGAGGUGUCCUGUUUUCUACCCGCCAGUGCAGCGUGUGGACCCUGGGCCUGGGCACACGGGAGGCUCUUCUUGGGCAGCAAAGGGAUGCUGGAGCUGCUGCAGCCAUUUUGGCACUUUGAGGGCCACCUUCCUUGGCUCAAAAUGAAAAUUUCCGUCAUCUUUUGCAGAUGCUCUGAGAGCAUCAAGAAGCUCUAAGCUCCAGAAUAAAAAUUAAAUUAAUUGAAGAAA